rnacentral:rRNA from 1 species
GAUGAACGCUAGCUACAGGCUUAACACAUGCAAGUCGAGGGGCAGCAUGAACUUAGCUUGCUAAGUUUGAUGGCGACCGGCGCACGGGUGAGUAACACGUAUCCAACCUGCCGAUGACUCGGGGAUAGCCUUUCGAAAGAAAGAUUAAUACCCGAUGGCAUAGUUCUUCCGCAUGGUAGAACUAUUAAAGAAUUUCGGUCAUCGAUGGGGAUGCGUUCCAUUAGGUUGUUGGCGGGGUAACGGCCCACCAAGCCUUCGAUGGAUAGGGGUUCUGAGAGGAAGGUCCCCCACAUUGGAACUGAGACACGGUCCAAACUGCUACGGGAGGCAGCAGUGAGGAAUAUUGGUCAAUGGACGAGAGUCUGAACCAGCCAAGUAGCGUGAAGGAUGACUGCCCUAUGGGUUGUAAACUUCUUUUAUACGAGAAUAAAGUGAGGCACGUGUGCCUUUUUGUAUGUACCGUAUGAAUAAGGAUCGGCUAACUCCGUG